UAUGAAUAUUGUUUUUGCUGAGUAACUUCUGUUAUAUGACUGCUGUUAAAACCAUCUGAUGUCAGACAGAUAUUUACCAGUUUAUUUAGUCUCAGUUCUACAUUUGCUGAAUUGGUAUAAAUGUGUUUUAUGAGCUGGUCCAACACUACUGAGUUGAUGCACCUGAUAUCAGAUACAAACACUGGUUUUCUGUCUUCAUGCAGCUGCAGAACACACACCAGGAGGCCCAAAAGUCAGAUCACAUCAUUGGAACAAAGUUAAAACUUCUCUCAGAGCUGCAAAGUUCUCAUAGUCUCUGCUGUGAUAUUUCUAGUAGAUGCAGC